GAAUAUUGACUUGACCAAAGACCAAGACUGUUGACUGAAUUUUGGAAAUUGUGUUAGCAGAAUUCCUUGGCUGGUCGCAUCCUUUUGCAUGAUCGACGGUCACUGAAUUGCCGUCAGAUUGAUAUAUUAUACGACAUUGGCUUGUAUUUUCUUGGUGAGCCUUUCUUUUUCUUGGAUUUCUCUUGAUUUGCUUGUUCCUGAACAAGGUCACAUCAUCCCCUCCUCCUUCAAAAGGAUUUGCCCUCAAAUCCGACUUAAUGUUUAGAACCUGUGACCGUGAGAGGCAGCCCCACUAGUGAUCAAAACAGGUUGCUUUUGGAGAAGUAAUCUCCUAGAGCCAUUACGAGAGAUGGAGGAGCAGUCUCGGUUUAACUUCAGAUGGAAUGAUCUCUUGUUUUCUCGUGGAUUUUUUUUUUUUUUUUUUUGUAGCAGAUGGAAAGAUGAGAAUGAUGAAUGACAGAAGUGAACACCGAACCCUCAAGUGUGCUCCUUUGUUCUUUGGAACAUCGUAAUGCUACGAGAGUGAUCUCCGUAAGCACGGUCUUGUUCACUAGUGGGGCUGCCUCUCACGGACUAAGACCAACCCAGCAAGUAUCUGGCCUUCCGCAGCCUUAUGAUGAAGAACCAUCGAUCCACCUUUCCUUUAAUCCAUCUUUGGGUCAAAGCUUAUCCUUUUCACCAACCUUCGAGUGCAUUCCUUGGGAGAUUUUCUAUUAUUUGGUAUCAGAGCACACUUGAGGGUUCGGUGUUCACUUCUGUCAUUCAUCAUUCUCAUCUUUCCAUCUUCUACAAAAAAAAAAAAAAAUCCAUGAGAAAACAAGAGAUCAUUCCAUCUGAAGUUAAACCGAGACUGCUCCUCCAUCUCUCGUAAUGGCUCUAGGAGAUUGCUUCUCCAAAAGCAACCUGUUUUGAUCACUAGUGGGGCUGCCUCUCACGGUCACAGGUUCUAAACAUUAAGUCGGAUUUGAGGGCAAAUCCUUUUGAAGGAGGAGGGGAUGAUGUGACCUUGUUCAGGAACAAGCAAAUCAAGAGAAGUCCAAAAAAAAAAAAAAAGGCUCACCAAGAAAAUACAAGCCAAUGUCGUAUAAUAUAUCAAUCUGACGGCAAUUCAGAGACCGUCGAUCAUGCAAAAGGAUGCGACCAGCCAAGGAAUUCUGCGAACACAAUUUCCAAAAUUCAGUCAACAGUCUUGGUCUUUGGUCAAGUCAAUAUUCCUAGUCAAGUCUUCAUAGUUUUAAGAGCUUUUUAGUUUCAAGGAUUGACUAGAUUAUUUAAUUUUACAGAUUGCCUAAUAUAUAAAGGUUUGCUUUGUAUUGUUUUUAUUCAUUCAACCCUUUUAAUAAAAAUCUACUUUUUAAAUUUGUUGAAUCCUUUGUUCGUUGGAACAUCGUAAUGCUACGAGAGUGAUCUCCGUAAGCACGGUCUUGUUCACUAGUGGGGCUGCCUCUCACGGACUAAGACCAACCCAGCAAGUAUUUGGCCUUCCGCAGCCUUAUGCUGAAGAACCAUCGAUCCACCUUUCCUUUAAUCCAUCUUUGGGUCAAAGCUUAUCCUUUUCACCAACCUUCGAGUGCAUUCCUUGG
rnacentral:lncRNA from 1 species